GUGGGGAAUAUUGGACAAUGGGCGAAAGCCUGAUCCAGCCAUGCCGCGUGUGUGAAGAAGGUCUUCGGAUUGUAAAGCACUUUAAGUUGGGAGGAAGGGCAGUAAGUUAAUACCUUGCUGUUUUGACGUUACCAACAGAAUAAGCACCGGCUAACUUCGUGCCAGCAGCCGCGGUAAUACGAAGGGUGCAAGCGUUAAUCGGAAUUACUGGGCGUAAAGCGCGCGUAGGUGGUUCAGCAAGUUGAAGGUGGAAUCCCCGGGCUCAACCUGGGAACUGCCUCCAAAACUACUGAGCUAGAGUACGGUAGAGGGUAGUGGAAUUUCCUGUGUAGCGGUGAAAUGCGUAGAUAUAGGAAGGAACACCAGUGGCGAAGGCGACUACCUGGACUGAUACUGACACUGAGGUGCGAAAGCGUGGGGAGCAAACAGGAUUAGAUACCCGAGUAGUCC
rnacentral:rRNA from 1 species